UUUUUGUUAAAUGAAAGCCGUUUCCCCUGAAUAAAAUGAUAUAUAAUAAGUGUGGGUGCACAUAAUAUGAAAGAGGUGAAUUACGCUUGAGCAGACAUAUAGCGCAAAUUCAAGUUUUUCUUUAAGUUUUGUUUUGAUCACAACGUGUACAUUUGGCUCAGUCCUUAAGGUGUUAAAAUACAUAUGUGUUUCUUGCCCUGUGCUCUAGCCGCAUGUUUAGUGCGCCCUCAGUUCUAAAGUAUUUGACCUUUUCUAUAACAUGUUUUAUUAUAUAGUCAAAGUUGUAUUUGUAGAGCUUACACUUUGUUUAGAUGGUGGACCUGUAAAUUGCAAUUUCAGCAGUGGUAAUUGUAUCUCAUACUUAGUGAUGUUGAUGAAUAAUCCUAAACUAAGAUUGUGAAAAAGGAAAAAAGUUAAGAAUGC